CCUACGGGUGGCUGCAGUGGGGAAUAUUGCACAAUGGGGGGAACCCUGAUGCAGCGACGCCGCGUGAGUGAAGCAGUAUUUCGGUAUGUAAAGCUCUAUCAGCAGGGAAGAAAAUGACGGUACCUGACUAAGAAGCCCCGGCUAACUACGUGCCAGCAGACGCGGUAAUACGUAGGGGGCAAGCGUUAUCCGGAGUUACUGGGGGGAAAGGGAGCGCAGACGGCGGUGCAAGUCUGGAGUGAAAGGCGGGGGCCCAAACCCCGGACUGCUCUGGAAACGGUAAAGAUGGAGUGCAGGAGAGGUAAGCGGAAUUCGGAGGGUAGCGGGGAAAUGCGGAGAGAUUAGGAGGAA
rnacentral:rRNA from 1 species